UGGGGGAAUCUUCCGCAAUGGACGAAAGUCUGACGGAGCAACGCCGCGUGAGUGAAGAAGGUUUUCGGAUCGUAAAACUCUGUCUUUUGGGGCGAACGUGAGUAUGGUGAACAAUCAUAGUCAGUGACGGUACCAAAGGAGGAAGCCACGGCUAACUACGUGCCAGCAGCCGCGGUAAUACGUAGGUGGCAAGCGUUGUCCGGAAUUAUUGGGCGUAAAGAGCGCGUAGGCGGGAUAGUCAGUCUGUUGUAAAGUGCGGGGCUCAACCCCGUGAUCGCAAUGGAAACAGCUAUUCUUGAGUGCAGGAGAGGAAAGUGGAAUUCCCAGUGUAGCGGUGAAAUGCGUAGAUAUUGGGAGGAACACCAGUGGCGAAGGCGACUUUCUGGACUGUGUCUGACGCUGAGGCGCGAAAGCCAGGGGAGCGAACGGGAUUAGAUACCCCGGUAGUCCUGGGCCGUAAAACGAAUGGGUCUAGGUGUGGGAGGUAUCGACCCCCUUGCCGUGGCCGGGAGUUAACGCAAUAAGUACCCCCGCUGGGGAGUACGGUCGCAAGACUGAAACUCAAAUGAAUUGACGGGGUCAUAGCUGUUUCCUG
rnacentral:rRNA from 1 species